rnacentral:rRNA from 1 species
UGCCAGCCGCCGCGGUAAUACGAAGGGACCUAGCGUAGUUCGGAAUUACUGGGCUUAAAGAGUUCGUAGGUUGUUGAAAUAGUUGGUGGUGAAAUCCCAGAGCUUAACUCUGGAACUGCCAUCAAAACUUUUCAGCUAGAGUAUGAUAGAGGUAAGUGGAAUUUCUAGUGUAGAGGUGAAAUUCGUAGAUAUUAGAAAGAACACCAAAUGCGAAGGCAACUUACUGGGUCACUACUGACACUGAGGAGCGAAAGCAUGGGUAGCGAAGAGGAUUAGAUA